UUCACCAAUUGCUGUUUGGGCUAUUUUGGGAGCGCUGCGCUCCCCUGUUAGUGACGUGUGCUGCUGGGUAAAUUUGCAGCUCCGACGGCCUGGGCCUGCAACCUCAGAUGGCAUCAAUGUUGUGAGGUGGGAGGGAUGUGAAGGCAGGAUAUAGAGUGAGGAAGCAAGAAAGAGAGGGAAAGAAAGAGAGGGGGAGGACCUGGACAGGGAACAUUAGAAACACAACAGUGGAAAUGAUGUCCAACCUGGCAGAAACAGAAAUCACAAACUGAACUGAUAUGAGCCAGAAAACAAGAGAAAAACACGAGCAGAUCUAUCUAGCAGGAGAAAUUGCCGGUACCAGAUGAGCAAGAUGAAGGAUGCAGUCAUUAAAAAAGGAAUUCUCAUUUUCACUGGUGACUAACAAGUGUACUCCAUGUACGAGUGAUGAAUGUAAUAACAGAGGUGGAGGAAUGGGGGCGCUAUUGUACUUCACACUCAGUCUGAAAUAGCUGUGGCAAAUGGGAGUUGGAAAGACAAACUAAACACAAAUCUUCAAAGUAGAUUUUCGCUGAAAUGCUUGUUAAUAUAGUUGGUUCGUGUCUUGCUUCAAAGGCUGUCUCAUGACAAGCACAAGUGUUUCUGAAUGGAAACCUAAUCAGUGUUUCAAUGACAAAAAAAAAAAAGAAAAAUAAAGGAGGUAUUCAACUCAAACUCCCUUUCACUGUAUUUUUUUUUCUUUUUAAAUACUUGGUUUAAGUUUAUUUACUUGGCAGUUUUAAUCAAGACCAGCCAUCACACAUUCACACACAUACUGAUUAAUACAAUCACUGGCAUAAUCAUUUCAACACCACAAAUCUAAAAUGUCCUCUGAGGAAUGAGUUUCGUGCUCAUUUGGUUGUGGUUGCAUACUGAGAACCAGCUGAGAGUCAUUAUGUUGUGAUCAGCCGCCAAAGUGAUUAGCCGUUAAUUUAAAUCAGUCAAAUAAGGUUUAAAGUAAUAGAAUAAAGCAGAGUGCUAAAAACAAUUCAUCAUCCAUCCUAUUAAAAUGGUCAAAGUUGGUUUUUUUUAUGGGAAAAGAAUUAUUGCUAUGGUGACGGUUUUUCCUCAUCACACUAUAUUAUCACCUUGUACCAUCGCCUCUGCCGACUCACCUGUAAUGAAUUUUCCUGAAUAUUUUCUGCUGCAUUCUCACAUUCCCUCAACAGACUUCUUGCAGAAAUUCACAAUGGAUAUUUCGUAGAAAAAAAUUCCUGGUGGAAUCGGAAUAAAAAAAUUUUUUAAAAUCUGUGUGUUUGUGUUCCACCCCAAACAUUUGUGGAAGUUUUCAGAGGUGUCGUGCAUAAUUCAACACAGCUAGUUUGUUUCAUUCAAUUCUGUUGGGACUUGGUGACAGUAUAGCCUUUUGGUGUGCACAGUGGCUUGAACCACCUUGGUACCAACACUCCCUCCAUUUGGUGCAUUUGCUGGUUGAGAACAAUAUUUACCUCGCUGAACCCUACAGUCUACCCGAGUGAAGACUCAUCACUCCUGAUAACAUGAGAUGAAAACUAUUAAGGGUGGAGGUUUAUGACCAGUUUACGAUGUUCGCAAAGCAAUGUCUGAGGACCCGACAUGGAUCCCUGCUGAACACCUUUUCAGCAUUUUAGGGGUUCCAUUUGAAAAAAACUGCAAAAACUGGCAUAACAGAAACGCCAUAGUAUAUUAAACGCAGGGCUUGACACUAACUUUUUUCAGAAGCAGCACAUGUGCUCCUGAGUUGAAAAAGUAAGGAGCACACAAAGAACUUUGAGGGCACAAUGAAAAUUGAUCAAAUAAUGUGUGUCUUAUUGGUCGACAUAAGUACUAUUAUUUGAAAUCAAUUUUAGGUCAAUUGGUCACGUGACAUGGAAGCUAUUGAAGAAAAUGUUCAGAAUUUGCCUUUAAAUGUAACACAAAAUUUAUUUAGAGGACAAAUUAGGGAAAUAAAGAGUGUGUCUUAUCGUCAAACCUUAAUUCUAUUAUUUGAAAUCAAUUUUAGGUCAAUUGGUCACGUGACAUGGAAGCUAUUGAAGGAAAACAGCCUUUUUUUUUAAAUAUCAACCGGUAAUUUAUUGAUGGUCCCUUAUUCAACACCUGACGUUGACAGCGAGGGUGCUGAGUAGAUUGAACCGCACUGCUGUUGCCAUUCCCGGUUAUAGAGAGUGAGAAGAGACCGAUAGAUCCGCAGUGAAUGUCCGUCGAAUAUCCAACCUAAAACCAACUUUGCCAUGGUAUUUACAUGAAAAUACAUAUCGGCUGAUAUUUUUUUAUUCGCACAUGUGCCCUUAAAUGCAUUUUACAAUUUGCACACAUCUAUUUUUGGUCGCAAAUGCGAGUGAAACGAUCGCACUGUUGAGCCCUGAAACGGUACUUUGACAAUUCUCAAUACCUCCUGUAGUAUCUGAAUUAUGUUGGAUUAGGAUGUCAGGAACUUGGAGCAAUGUUUCAGGUCCCUCCAGUGUUUUGCACUAUUGACAGUAUCAUGUUUGUUUGAUUAUUGAGACUGACUCAUCGGAAGGAUUUCUUUCAAACUGAAGGUUUAAACAUCUGUGGUAGAGAGAGCCAAGAUUAAGUUUGUCAUAUCUUCUUGUAUUGGCAUUAGAAUAACAAAACUGAGAUGAUGAAAAGGUAGUUUCCUCAGUAUGUACAGGUAACUAAAUACAAUAUAUGGUAGGACUUGAUUCGAUAAGCUAUGCUACAAUACACAACGAUACACAACGAAAUGAUACAACACAAUACGAUACGAUACAAUACAAUACCUACCUGUCAUCCAUUGCCAUAUACCUGAUACGGUUUGUCUUUUUAUCAGUUUCUACCUCUGAGUCGUCUCUAUGGUAUAUUUUUGAUCUGCACCAAGCUUGCCUGUGUUAAUAAGCACUUUGGUACAUUUUGUACCCAACUCUGACAGUUGAUGUUUAGCUGUUAUUUACUGGCAAAUUAAAUUCUUUACUUGUCUGAGUCGGUUGAAAAACAGUUACGGUUAUAGUUCAGCAUAUAAUGUAGCUCAGAGGACCAAAGAUCAGACCAUAAAUUCCUUAUCCCUUUCCCAAGCUUUUCUAUUUGCAUAUGUAGGCCAUUAAACACAUGACACAGCAACACGCACGUGCCCUCCACUGGAUAUUUCCCUGAUAACCUACUUUAUUUUGCCUACCACUGAAGAACUAUUGGGUGAAAUUUGCAAAUAUCAUUAAACUGUCUCUUGCUUUCUUGCCACGCCUACCUGGUCUCAGUUUGCACUUGGCAAGAUUUGUGUUCAGGGUGUCCUCUACAGUAGGAGCCAAUGUUAAAAUUUUGCAUGCAUGUGGUAGGCAACACCAAUCCAUACCCCUAACCUCCAUGAUGAACAGAUUUGUUCAAAUUCUACACAAUGGUUGUGUUGCACAGUGUCAUUUGAUCUACAAGAUAACAGAUGGUGCACAGACUGGGCAGUGUCCCAUUGAGUUACAGUGUGAUUGGGCAUGAGGCAAGACCCCCAUGGUUUAGGCUGUCGGCAAGGAGGGACACAGUGUAGCUAGUCGAGAGGGAGCUCUUUAGUAUGAACUUUCAGAAGAACCAAUAUAGGGCAGGCUCAGACGGAAAUAAAUAAGAUUACCAAAGACCCAAAUGCAGACGUGUGCACAAUGGAAUCUCUGUUGGGCACAUAUAAUGUCCAAGCCAAGAGUAUGUGACAAAAAGGACAGGUCUCCUGUGAAUGAAGGCUCAAAUUAUUCACAGGUUCAGAAUCAUUACAGUUAAGCUAAAAUAAUGCAGCGUGUUAAUCGGGGUUAAUCAGGUCAGUGAUGCCAGGAAGGGCAUAAGGAGAGAAAGUGCAACAUUAAAGC
rnacentral:lncRNA from 1 species